CCUACGGGAGGCAGCAGUGGGGAAUUUUGGACAAUGGGGGCAACCCUGAUCCAGCAAUGCCGCGUGAGUGAAGAAGGCCUUCGGGUUGUAAAGCUCUUUUGUCAGGGAAGAAACGGUGGUCUCUAAUAUAGGCUGCUAAUGACGGUACCUGAAGAAUAAGCACCGGCUAACUACGUGCCAGCAGCCGCGGUAAUACGUAGGGUGCAAGCGUUAAUCGGAAUUACUGGGCGUAAAGCGUGCGCAGGCGGUUAUAUAAGUCAGAUGUGAAAUCCCCGGGCUCAACCUGGGAACUGCAUUUGAGACUGUAUAGCUAGAGUGUGUCAGAGGGGGGUAGAAUUCCACGUGUAGCAGUGAAAUGCGUAGAUAUGUGGAGGAAUACCAAUGGCGAAGGCAGCCCCCUGGGAUAACACUGACGCUCAUGCACGAAAGCGUGGGGAGCAAACAGGAUUAGAUACCCUGGUAGUCCACGCCCUAAACGAUGCUGACUAGUUGUUCGGGAUUUACAUCCUGAGUAACGUAGCUAACGCGUGAAGUCAGCCGCCUGGGGAGUACGGUCGCAAGAUUAAAACUCAAAUGAAUUGACGG
rnacentral:rRNA from 1 species